GACGAACGCUGGCGGCGUGCUUAACACAUGCAAGUCGAACGGAAAGGCCCUGCUUUUGUGGGGUGCUCGAGUGGCGAACGGGUGAGUAACACGUGAGUAACCUGCCCUGUACUUUGGGAUAACUUCAGGAAACUGGGGCUAAUACCGGAUAGGAUCUCCUGCUGCAUGGUGGGGGUUGGAAAGGUUCGGCGGUUGGGGAUGGACUCGCGGCUUAUCAGCGUGUUGGUGGGGUAGUGGCUUACCAAGGCUUUGACGGGUAGCCGGCCUGAGAGGGUGACCGGCCACAUUGGGACUGAGAUACGGCCAAGACUCCUACGGGGGGCAGAAGUGGGGAAUAGUGCACGAUGGGCGGAAGCCUGAUGCAGCAACGCCGCGUGGGGGAUGACGGCCUUCGGGUUGUAAACCGCUUUCGCCUGUGACGAAGCGUGAGUGACGGUAAUGGGUAAAGAAGCACCGGCUAACUACGUG
rnacentral:rRNA from 1 species